UGGGGGAUCGUCUAAUCGGCAGGACGGUGGACUCUGGAUCCAUCAGUGGUGGUUCGAAUCCACCUCCCCCAG
rnacentral:tRNA from 1 species